CUGGCACUUGUUACAUAAGGAAGACAAAACUGACAAAAUCUUUAAAGAAGAUCAAGUUCAUAAGAGAUUUCUGUAACCAUCUAAGAGCAGAGCUCUUUUAUGUUAUAAAAACAAGUAAAAGAGAGGCCAGGCCUGGCAGGUCACCUGUAAUCCCAGCACUUUGGGAGGCCGAGGC